ACAAAACCGAUGAGGAAGAAGAGUAAAUGAUCCGGCAACAUUCCAGAGAGCAGGUACUGGUGGAAGCCUGUAUGAAGCGGAUGAUCGAAUGGCCUUCCGAGGGCAGUCCGAAAUUUGAAUCCAGAGAGUAGGCACUGACGGGAACCGAACCCGUUAUCAAUCAGGAGUGUAUGUUUGUACAUGAGAAAGUGGACGAUACGUCAAUUUGAGUGGUACCGCGAUAAUAAGAAAUUAUUACCGUCUCAAGC
rfam:Blautia sp. CAG:237 genomic scaffold, scf208